GGCCUUAUGGUCUAGUAGCAUGAUUCUUCCUUUGGGCGCUCCUUUGAGCUUACUUAAUUGGAAGAGGUCCUGGGUUCAAUUCCCAGUGAGGCCC
rfam:Hebeloma cylindrosporum h7 unplaced genomic scaffold scaffold_11, whole genome shotgun sequence.